AUUCUUCAAUGGAGGUGCUCUUUUGCCAAGUUCACCACCUUAUCUAAGUAUCUGUAUUGACUAAAUCAAGGCAAGUACAGAUGACAAUUGGACCUGUUAAAGCAAUAGUCAGUCACUAAGAAUGAUGCAAACCAGCAAAAAUGAAAUGACCCUUUCUUCAAAGCUUUUCAGAAGGAAUAACAAAGAGGUUCAUCCAACAGAAAUAAUCUGUGGCAUUUUAUUUGCAAAAGCAACAGAAAAUUAUGGUCUGUGGUAGUAAAUAAAUGCAUCACACAUUCCUCUGGUAUAUAGAAGUGUAAAUCUUUCUACAAAGAGACUAAUCAGAAGAGGGAGGUUCAGAAGAGUAGGGAAACCAUGUCUAUAUAUAAAUCCCCUGAGAUAUUAUCGAAUACUCAUACCCAGUUGGCUUCAUAAAAAGUGCAUCUAAAUGUUCUGUGGUUGUCACAUCACCCUGAAGGACCUCUUCACCAUCUAUGAGACUGAAGAUAUCAUAUCGCCUCUCUACACCCUAGCCAUUGGGCAUGAAACCAGGAUCCUUGGAUAGUUUCCAGGAGAUAUAAACCUGAAAGCACUUGUCUUAUCCCUCAUCUAGAGACAUUUAUUUGAAUGCCAAAGACUUGAGCCUCUCCUGUGCAGAAAAUUAGGACAACAUCUGAGGAGGGCUAGGACAAGGAUAACUGUCCACCAGGGACCAAGCUAAGAUUGGUGGUGCACUGAAUGCCAGACUUGGGAGGAUUUGAGCAUCUCCCUGCCUUCAGUUCUUCCGUGACAAUAUUUUAGUGUCUGGCUCACUUUUUUGAUCAAAGAAGAUCAUUUACUGGGACUUCAGAAUGAAGACAGGAUCCCACUGUGUCACCCAGGCUGAAGUGCAGUGGCACCAUUAUAGCUCACUGCAGCCUUGAACUCUUGGGCUCAAGUGAUCCUCCUACCUCAGCCUCCCGAGUAGCUGGGACUACAGAAAUGUCAAUUGCCUACCUGAUGGCUGUGAAAAACAGAAAGAAGAAACAAAGACAUAUCUGUAUGUAAAGGUUGAGCUUGAAAAAAGAAAACUACUCUUGACGCUGAAGAACGCAAUCCAACAUGAAAGAAUGCUUAUUUCAAGUUUUACCUGAAUCUACCUAGAGCUGAAUUUCUUAUCUAUACUUUACUACAGAUAUUCUGCUUUGUGCAGAUCUACAAUGGAUCAUUAAAGUCAAAGGACAAUUACUUAUCUUUCUACUCCUCCCAGUACCCAAGACCUGAGAGUGAGAUAUUAAAUUCGUCCUUAGAUCUUUCAUGCAAUGUUACAGCUCUUUGGAACUCCUCAUGAAGCUCCUCCUCUCCAUGGUGGAAUUUUACUCUGAGGAGAGAUAGGCUAAAAUGUUUCAGUCCCCUAUAUGAUAAGUCCAAAAUCACCGUUUCACAUAUAUGCUGACCUGAUACAUUGAGUCACUGAUACGUGUCUUUCCACCUUCAGUAUAUUUUCUUUGACUAGCUUUAUUGCUUCCCUGUGAUGCUGAAUUUUGAGCAUGGAUGUGUGUGUCCAUAACAAAACCAUCCUAGGUAAACUGAAUUUGGUUAUUUGAAUUUCAUAAUUACUCUUUACUCCAAGUGUUGUGGAUUCAUGAUGCAAAUUUACCCAUUCCCAUUGCAAUAACUUAGAGCCAAAUAUCAAUUAUUUUAAAACUUGGUUCUCAUCACUGAACUAACAGUGUUGAAAAAGACAAUUUGCCUAUAUUUAAUAGUUUGCUAGUAAACUUUAUUUUGGGUUACAUCAAACUUGUAAUAAGUAGUGACUGGAUUGGGAAGGUGAGGUGUGCUGAUUUAAGGAUGCCUCUCCAUCUAUUUUAUGUGCUAGAAAAUAGGUAGCAAAAAAUAAAUCUUGCAGUACUCUCUUUUGAUUAACUACACAUUUUCCAUCUUGGAGUAAAAAGUAAUUAUGAAAUUCAACUCUAAUUGUAUAGUUUUUCUGUGUAAAAUAACUGAUGAAAAUAGAAUAAUUUAGAUGCUUUUUCUUUUAUUUUUUAUAGUAUUGAAUAGUGGAGCAUAACAAAUAGUACCUUCAGUUUGCUUUCUCUGGAAAAAAAUGAUUUGGUAAGAUUUUACAUGUCCCACAAAUGCUCUUAAACAAAAGAUAUGUCCCCAAGUGGACAACAGAUAAGUUUUUAUUUUAAAAAGGAAAGGAAGAAAUGUAUAUUUCUAGAAUUUUCUAGCUUAUAAGAAAAAUAAGGAGAAAUCUUCUAAUGGCUGGUUGGCAGCUAACUCUCCAGUUCCUCUACAGUGUGCAAAUUAUAUUAAAUGAAUUCAUUGCAUUAAUGAAGACAAACUUCACUGAUAUUUGAACAAUGAAUAUAAAUGGUUUGGAAUCAAGAAUUACCUUUAUUCAUUAUCAACAAUUAUCAGACAAGACCAGUUUCCAAAUAACAUUUUUUCCUAAAUUAACAGGAUGACCACACAUCUAGAUGGUUGUUGUAUGUGAGGACAGAGACAUCGCCAAAGGUCUGUGAAGGACUAACUGCUAUAGGAAUAGGCCAUAACUAGAGACCAGAAAAAAAAAUUUACAAGAGUGUUCAGACUUCUAGGAGCAUGAAAUUGUGAUAGAAGAAAACGUAUGAAUUGACCAUUACCGUUACCAUUACCCUAGCUUGAUUACUGAAGCAGAGGCCAGGGGUAGAAACUCAAGCAGAGCCAUGUAAUCCCACAGAGUUAAGGAGACAGGGAUCAAGGCACUGGAAAGCUGGAGUGUCAAGAACUUAUGGGGAAAAAUAUGAGAGCAGAAGCUGCACGAUGAGAAGGGUUCAAAGACCUGCAGAAGGUUAAAAAAACAAAAAAAAAACAUGAGUUUUUAGCUGAGCAUUGAUCUGCAUAAAUGUUGGAUAAAAUGUCAUGAAGUUCUAGAAAGAACAAUAGGAAAAGCCAGAGGGUAAAGAAUUUUUGGAAUUCACACAGAAAGAUGGAAAUAAUUUGUAUUCUCAAGAGCAGACAGGAGAGACCUAAUUCAUAGGGGAAUUGGGUAGAGUACUCAGAAACAUUGGGCCUUGGUAAUAAAGGAGAAUUAGCCUUAAAACCAAGGUUCCUCUGAACACAUUAGCAAAGGUUAAAACAAUGGAUACACAUGGACAUCAAGAUGGAGCUAAUAGACAUUGGAAACUACAAAAUGGGGGAGAGUGAGAGCAGAUGAGAGUGGAUAAAUUACUGAUUGGGUAAAAAGUUCAAAAAACAAAAACAAAGGUCAAAAAGAAGCCUUGAAAGGUAAUCAACAUCAUUAAUCAUCAGAGAAAUGCAAAUCAAAACCACCAUGAGAUGUCAUCUCAUACCUGUUAGGAGAUGAUUUAACUUGUUAUCAAAGUGAAAGGAUAACAAAUGUUGGCAAGGAUGUGUAGAAAAAAGAACUCUUAUAUAUGGUUGAUGGAAUGUAAAUUUGAUACAGUCAUUAUGGGAAAGAGAAUAGAGUUUUCUAAAGCAAUUAAAAAUAAAACUACCAUAUGAUUCAGUAAUCUCUCUUCUGGGAAUAUACCCAAAGGAAAUGAAAUCAUCACCUCAUAAAAAUGUCUGCACUCCCAUGUUCAUUGCAGCAUUAUUCAUAAUAGCUAAGAUAUGGAAAAGCCUAACUGUCCAUCAAGGGAUGAAUGGAUAAAGAAACUGUGGUAUAUUUCUAUAUAUCCCAUAAAAAUAAUAAUGAAAUAUUAUUCAGCCCUAAAAAAGAACAAGAUCUUCUCAUUUAACACAACAUAGAUGAGACUGGAGGACAAUGAAAUAAACCAGACAAAGAAAGAAAAGUAUUACAUGAUUGAUUUCACUUAAAUGAGGAUUCUUAAAAACUCAAAUAUAGAAAGAGAACAAAACAGUGGUUCUGGGGCAGAGGAGGAAGGGAGAAAAUUGGGAGAUAUAAGUCAGAGGAUACAAAGUAUAAGAUAUAUACCAUGAACAAGUCUAGAGGUCUAAUAUACAACAGGAGGACUAUAGGAAAUAAAAUUUUACCAUACAUGGAAUUCAUGCUAAAUGAAUAGAUUUUAACUGUUAUUGCCAUAAAAACAAAAACAAAAAAUGGGUAACUAUGUGAGAGGAUAGAUAUGUUCAUUUGUUCCACUAUGGUAACUUUUUACAAUCUACAUAUAUUUCAUAACAUCACAUUGUAUACCUUAAAUAUACGUAAUAAAAUUUAUUUUAAAACAAAG
rnacentral:lncRNA from 1 species